AAUGAAUUGCCUGAGAAAAGGACUAUCUUGAUAGGGUAAAACACGUAUAAAUUUACAUUCAUUA
rnacentral:tRNA from 1 species